ACCCUUUUAGGGUCUUUUGACCAAUUUACCCUUUUUAGGGUCAUUCGGUCGCUUUUGAAUAAAUUAUCAAUUCAAUUGACCAAAUUACCCUUUUUAGGGUCUUUGGACCAAUUUACCCUUUUUAGGGUCAUUCGGCCGAUUUUUGAAUAAAUCCCUAAAUUCAAUUUCAUUCAUUUGACCAGUUCACCCAUUUUUAGGGCAAUCGAAUCGAUUUUGAAUAAAUCAAGUUUCAUUCAUUUGACCAAUCUACCCUUUUUAGGGUGAUUCGAUCAAUUUUUGAAUAAAUCAAAUUUCAUUUAAUUCAUUUGACCAGUUUACCUAUUUUUAGGGCAAUUUGGUCAUUUUUAAAUAAAUCAUCAAUUUUAUCCAAUCCAUUUGACCCGUUUUUUCCCUUUUUAGGGUUUAAGUCUAAGGGUCACCGAAUAAAUUAAUUGAGACAUUGCAAUCUCUUUUACACAUUAUUUCAUGCAUCGAUCAAAGUAGCAAUC
rnacentral:lncRNA from 1 species